CCCUUAGAUGUUCUGGGCUGCACGCGCGCUACACUGCUGCAAUUAACGGGUUUUCUGUGCCGAAAGGCUUGGGGAAUCCUUUGAAUAUGCGGCGUGAUGGGGAUAGACUUUUGCAAUUUUUGGUCUUCAACGAGGAAUUCCUAGUAAACGCAAGUCAUCAACUUGCAUUGAUUACGUCCCUGCCCUUUGUACACACCGCCCGUCGCACCUACCGAUUGAAUGGUCCGGUGAAGCCUCCGGAUUGGCGCGCACCUCGGUGCCGCCGAGAAGUUGGCUAAACCUUACCAUUUAGAGGAAGGUGAAGUCGUAACA
rnacentral:rRNA from 1 species